ensembl:snRNA RNU6-66P RNA, U6 small nuclear 66, pseudogene
GUGCUCGCUUCAGCAGCACAUCUACUUAAAUUGGAACAAUACAGAGAUUAGCAUGACCCCUGGGCAAGGAUGACACACAAAUUCAUGAAGCAUUCCAUAAAAAG